UACGGAGGGGGCUAGCGUUGUUCGGAAUUACUGGGCGUAAAGCGCGCGUAGGCGGACCUGCAAGUCGGGGGUGAAAGCCCGAGGCUCAACCUCGGAACUGCCUUCGAUACUGCGGGUCUCGAGUCCGGGAGAGGUGAGUGGAAUUCCUAGUGUAGAGGUGAAAUUCGUAGAUAUUCGGAGGAACACCAGUGGCGAAGGCGGCUCACUGGUCCAUUACUGACGCUGAGGCACGAAAGCGUGGGGAGCAAACAGG
rnacentral:rRNA from 1 species